GAUUGUACCUUUUCAUGUGGUUCUUAGCCUUUGUUGAACAUAUCAGUUCAUCAACACACAAAAAUUGUUCCAUAGGAACUUUUUUAAAAUUUUUGUUUAGUUCAUCUAUUAUUGGCCUGAUUUUGAAUAGCCGAUCGUGACAGGAGUGUGACAAAGGCAGAGCAUUAUCAUUGUUGUUAAAGUAAAUGUGACGCCUCAUCAUCUCAAAUGUUUUUUGCGACAUAAUAUUCUGUAUCGCUGGUACUCCAAUUAUUGUUGACCAAUAUUGAGUAAUUCUUGGAAGACGCGAAAUUGACAUGUAUAAUAUUAUUCCAACAAACUGUCGAAUAUCUAAGGACGUAAAAUUGACAUGUUUUUUGGAAAAAGAUACCAAAAAAAUUGUAUUGGCUCUGAUAGUUCCAUUAGUUCCGGAUGCAACAUAGUACUCCCGAGAAACUGCAGUUGAUUUUCGUUCAAAAUUAAACUGCGUUUUCUCCAUAGCAAGUUUCUUUUCAGAUCAGGGUUAUUACUUUUAACAUUUGGCUCAGAAUCAUCUACGAGAUUUGAGUUUGAAACGUCUAAGGCAUUACUCGGUGGAUUUUGGUCAUCGAUGUCAUCUUCAUCCGUACUACCUGCAUCUUUCUCAUCUAGAUAAAAAUCGCUUUCUUCAUCAGCAGAAAAGUCAAGUUCAUCCUCGCUAUCUAAACUGUUGAAAUAAUUUUCAACCUGUGAAGGUGUUAAACCUUUUCCUGACAUAUUUCCUGCCGCACUCAACAUGUGCUUCUCACAAAAUUGGCGGGAAAGUGAACAUAUGUUUUACAAAACAUCUAGAAAUGUGCCCAAAGCAAAUCAUUUAUAAAAUACGUUUGUUUCAGAUGUACAACAUAUAGCCACAUUCGAUUUUUUCGAUUUGCAUUGCGAAAAAAUAUCUUUUAAAGGGUAUGUUGCAGAUAUGCAACACUGCCAUAUAAAGGGUUAAAAA